rnacentral:rRNA from 1 species
CAAUAGCGUAUAUUAAAGUUGUUGCAGUUAAAAAGCUCGUAGUUGGAUUUCCGGUGGGAGCACGGGUCGGCCCUCACGGGUUGUACUGUUGUUGCAUCCCGCCGUUUCGGAGGGAAUGGUCUCGCUAUUAAGUUAGCGUGAUCGGGAACUCUGUCGUUUACUGUGAAAAAAUUAGAGUGUUCAAAGCAGGCCUUCGCUGUGAAUACAUUAGCAUGGAAUAAUAAGAUAAGACUUGGGUCAUUAUUUUGUUGGUUUGCGGAUCGAGGUAAUGAUUAAUAGGGAUAGUGGGGGUAUUCGUAUUUAAUUGUCAGAGGUGAAAUUCUUGGAUUUAUGAAAGACGAACUUCUGCGAAAUGCAUUUACCAAAGUAUGUUUUCAUUAAUCAAGAACGAAAGUUAGGGGAUCGAAGACGAUUAGAUACCA